AAUAAGCAUCAUGAAUCAACCAAUCAGAAUGUCGCUUAAUUCGAGACGCGGGACGAAUCAAUGCGCAUCGCAGUGCGCAACGUAGUGCGCAACGCAAUGCGCAUGUCGUCAGUCUACAGUUAAAAAUUGUGUGGAGUGGACGUAUCGUCGCGAAUUCGGAUUACGCAGUUUAAUUGGUAGCGUUAUGGUAAUACUCACGAAGGCGGGAAAAUUUCCAAUAUGGACGCCAUGUCUUUCUUGGCAGUAAAAUUUCUUUCGUGGUAAAAUUUUAUAUUUCGUAUGUAUAAAUUUUUAUUUUGUUUUAUUGGAUUAUUAGUGAUUAUUGUUAAGCAAUUUGUAAUAAAAUUACGUUUUAGUU